GCGUUGUUCGGAAUUACUGGGCGUAAAGCGAGUGUAGGUGGUUGUCCAAGUUGGAUGUGAAAGCCUUGAGCUCAACUCAAGAAAUGCAUUCAGGACUGGGCGACUAGAGGACCGGAGAGGAUAGUGGAAUUCCCAGUGUAGUGGUGAAAUACGUAGAGAUUGGGAAGAACACCAGUGGCGAAGGCGGCUAUCUGGACGGUUUCUGACACUAAGACUCGAAAGCGCG
rnacentral:rRNA from 1 species